rnacentral:rRNA from 1 species
UACGAAGGGUGCAAGCGUUACUCGGAAUUACUGGGCGUAAAGGGUGCGUAGGUGGUUGUUUAAGUCUGCUGUGAAAGCCCCGGGCUCAACCUGGGAAUGGCAGUGGAUACUGGACAGCUAGAGUGCGGUAGAGGGUAGUGGAAUUCCCGGUGUAGCAGUGAAAUGCGUAGAGAUCGGGAGGAACACCAGUGGCGAAGGCGGCACUCUGGGCCGGUACUGACGCUGAGGAGCGAAAGCGUGGGGAGCAAACAGG